UACGAAGGUGUCGAACGUUGUCCGGAAUAACUGGGCGUAAAGGGCGCGUAGGCGGUCGGGUAAGUGGGAUGUGAAAGCUCUGGGCUCAACCCAGGAAUUGCAUUCCAUACUGCUCGACUUGAGUUCGGUAGAGGAGGGCGGAAUUCCAGGUGUAGCGGUGAAAUGCGUAGAGAUCCGGAGGAAUACCAGUGGCGAAGGCGGCACGCUGGGCCAUAACUGACGCUAAGACUCGAAAGCAUGGGUAGCGAACGGG
rnacentral:rRNA from 1 species